rnacentral:rRNA from 1 species
CCUACGGGAGGCAGCAGUGGGGAAUAUUGGACAAUGGGGGGAACCCUGAUCCAGCGACGCCGCGUGAGUGAAGAAGUAUUUCGGUAUGUAAAGCUCUAUCAGCAGGGAAGAAAGAAAUGACGGUACCUGACUAAGAAGCCCCGGCUAACUACGGGCCAGCAGCCGCGGUAAGACGUAGGGGGCAAGCGUUACGCGGAUUUACUGGGUGUAAAGGGGGCGUAGGAGGCGAUGUAAGUCUGAUGUGAAAGACGGGGGCUCAACCAGAGGACUGUAUUGGAAACUGUUUGGCUGGAGUGCAGGAGAGGUAGGUGGAAUUCCUAGUGUAGGGGGAAAAGCCGUAGAGAUUAGGAGGAAAACUGGUUGCGAAGGCGACCUACGAGACUAUAACUGACGUUGAUGCUCGAAAGCGUGGGGAGCAAACAGGAUUAGAUACCCUUGUAGUC